rnacentral:rRNA from 1 species
CUACGGGACGCAGCAGUGGGGAAUAUUGCACAAUGGACGAAAGUCUGAUGCAGCAACGCCGCGUGGAGGAUGACACAUUUCGGUGCGUAAACUCCUUUUAUAUAAGAAGAUAAUGACGGUACUAUAUGAAUAAGCACCGGCUAACUCCGUGCCAGCAGCCGCGGUAAUACGGAGGGUGCAAGCGUUACUCGGAAUCACUGGGCGUAAAGAGCGUGUAGGCGGGUUAAUAAGUUGGAAGUGAAAUCCUAUGGCUCAACCAUAGAACUGCUUCCAAAACUGUUAACCUAGAAUAUGGGAGAGGUAGAUGGAAUUUCUGGUGUAGGGGUAAAAUCCGUAGAGAUCAGAAGGAAUACCGAUUGCGAAGGCGAUCUACUGGAACAUUAUUGACGCUGAGACGCGAAAGCGUGGGGAGCAAACAGGAUUAGAUACCCUCGUAGUC